CAGCUAAAAGAGGAUGAAAUGAAGGGCGUCCCUGAGAGCGAUUACGUUACACAGGUAUGGUGUUUCAAUUUACUACGUCCCUGCCCCCGAAGCA